rnacentral:rRNA from 1 species
UACGGAGGGGACUAGCGUUGUUCGGAAUUACUGGGCGUAAAGGGUCUGUAGGUGGCUUGCUAAGUCAGACGUGAAAUCCCUCAGCUUAACUGGGGAACUGCGUCUGAGACUGGCGAGCUUGAGGGCAGGAGAGGAACGCGGAAUUCCAGGUGUAGCGGUGAAAUGCGUAGAUAUCUGGAGGAACACCGGUGGCGAAGGCGGCGUUCUGGACUGCAUCUGACACUGAAAGACGAAAGCCAGGGGAGCAAACGGG